UACGUAGGGGGCAAGCGUUGUCCGGAAUCAUUGGGCGUAAAGAGCGUGUAGGCGGCCCGGUAAGUCCGCUGUGAAAGUCGAGGGCUCAACCCUCGAAUGCCGGCGGAUACUGUCGGGCUAGAGUCCGGAAGAGGCGAGUGGAAUUCCUGGUGUAGCGGUGAAAUGCGCAGAUAUCAGGAGGAACACCGGUGGCGAAGGCGGCGAUCUGGACGAUGACUGACGCGAGACGCGAAAGCGUGGGGAGCAAACAGG
rnacentral:rRNA from 1 species